rnacentral:rRNA from 1 species
GACGAACGCUGGCGGCGUGCUUAACACAUGCAAGUCGAACGAUGAAGCCGGAGCUUGCUCUGGUGAAUUAGUGGCGAACGGGUGAGUAACACGUGAGUAACCUGCCCUUGACUCUGGGAUAACUGCGGGAAACUGUAGCUAAUACCGGAUACGACCCUCGGAGGCAUCUCCUGGGGGUGGAAAGAAUUUCGGUCAAGGAUGGACUCGCGGCCUAUCAGCUAGUUGGUGAGGUAAAGGCUCACCAAGGCGACGACGGGUAGGCGGCCUGAGAGGGUGACCGGACACACUGGGACUGAGACACGGACCAGACUCCUACGGGAGGCAGCAGUGGGGAAUAUUGCACAAUGGGCGCAAGCCUGAUGCAGCAACGCCGCGUGAGGGAUGACGGCCUUCGGGUUGUAAACCUCUUUUAGCAGGGAAGAAGCGAAAGUGACGGUACCUGCAGAAAAAGCACCGGCUAACUACGUGCCAGCCGCCGCGGUAA